GUGGGGAAUAUUGGGCAAUGGGCGCAAGCCUGACCCAGCAACGCCGCGUGAAGGAAGAAGGCUUUCGGGUUGUAAACUUCUUUUACCAGGGACGAAGAAAGUGACGGUACCUGGAGAAUAAGCCACGGCUAACUACGUGCCAGCAGCCGCGGUAAUACGUAGGUGGCGAGCGUUGUCCGGAUUUACUGGGUGUAAAGGGCGCGUAGGCGGGGAUGCAAGUCAGGUGUGAAAUCUAUGGGCUUAACCCAUAAACUGCACUUGAAACUGUAUUUCUUGAGUGUCGGAGAGGUAGACGGAAUUCCUAGUGUAGCGGUGAAAUGCGUAGAUAUUAGGAGGAACACCAGUGGCGAAGGCGGUCUACUGGACGAUAACUGACGCUGAGGCGCGAAAGCGUGGGGAGCAAACAGGA
rnacentral:rRNA from 1 species